UCUCUGGUAGUAUAUCGGAUAGUACACCCGCCUGUCAUGUCGUAGUCACCACAGGUGCGCGGGAGAGCGGGGUUCGACUCCCCGCCAGAGAG